rnacentral:ncRNA from 1 species
CAAGGACCCGCCCGCGCGGGUGGCUAUGCCGGGCGCCUAUCCCUCGGCCAAUC